AUACGAAGGGGGCAAGCGUUGUUCGGAAUAACUGGGCGUAAAGCGCACGUAGGCGGAUUGAUCAGUUAGGGGUGAAAUCCCAGGGCUCAACCCUGGAACUGCCUUUAAUACUGUCAGUCUAGAGAUCGAGAGAGGUGAGUGGAAUUCCGAGUGUAGAGGUGAAAUUCGUAGAUAUUCGGAGGAGCACCAGUGGCGAAGGCGGCUCACUGGCUCGAUACUGACGCUGAGGUGCGAAAGCGUGGGGAGCAAACAGGAUUAGAAACCCCAGUAGUCC
rnacentral:rRNA from 1 species